UUUCCAUUUGUUGCUGUUGAAUGGUAAACACUUUUAGAAGAUGUUGAAUGUCUAUCUGUUAUUGUGCUGAUUUCUAUUUGUUGAUGUUGCCAUGCUGAAUUUGGAGGUCAUUCUGGUUUGAAUUUCAAUUUGUUGCUGCUAUAUUGUUGUGUUCAUUGAAGUUCAUUACUGGAAAGAAGAAAAAAAAAUGGCCUAAAGAUGAUAAAAAUUUGGUCCACAGGAUUCACACUUCAGAAAUAGGUGUGAAUGGGGCUUUCAUUACCAACUCAAAAUUAAAUAUGUAUGUUUGUUUUAUAUUUAUAUUUGUAUAUCACCCCUAAAAAAAAAAAA